CACCUAGCAGCCGGCGGAACCAGAGCAAAAAGGUACCGUUACAGUACACACUUUUUCUACCCUUAGAAAAAAACAUUUCUCUCUCUCACAUUUUACGCCACUCGCCUUUAAAAUGCCUAAAAUUUGUUCAAGUCUGGCUAGGUGUUGGUCCACUGUAGGAGCCGAAAUAGUUAUGUCGUCGAGAUAAUUUUCACAACCUUCUAUUUCACUUAGAAGUUAUUCAAGGUGACGCUGGAAUUGCAUACGGUAAACGUUGGUACUGAAAGAGGUCCAACGGCGUGUUGACAACCAUAAUUUCUUUCGCUGCAUCGUCUAACUCCAUUUGUAAGUAAGCGUCUUUGAGGUCAAUUUUGGAGAAAUGCGUGCCGUGACGAAUUACUAUUGGCGAUGCCCAGUUGCUAAAUUUUAUGGGUUUCGAAAUAAAUGCGUCUAUAAGACGCUGCGCUUCCUCCUUGAACUUAUCCAAUUGGGCAAACGGAAUUUGCCUGCUUUUGUAGAACUUUGGUACGGAAUUUAGGGUAAAUGCUUUCCUUAAAGUUUUUUAUCGUACCAAUAGCCGGCUCAAAUACCUCCUUAUACCUCUGGCAAAGAUCUGUCAUUUGAGUCCCCUGCUUUUCAGUGACGUUUGCUGAAUUUCAAAAUUAAAUGUUUUAAACAAAUCCGAGCCGAACAGAUUAUUAUCACCACAUUUGCCAACUUGGUGCCACACUUUGCUACAGUGUGUAGCUCACCCAGUACAGGAAUUUGUUGUGGGCCGAAUGCGUCCAAGAUUCGAUCGCACUUCUGCAGUCUCGGGCUGUUUAGCUUUUUGUAUGUGUUGACAUUCAAUGCUGACACCGUUGCACCAGAAUCCAUUUGGAAGGAUACGAUUGUAUUGAAGAGGUCCACUUCAAUUACAGAUUUGUUUCUUCAAACUUGACCAAGCUGGAAACGUUGGAAAUUGUUUUUUGUUGAUCGGUGUAUUUUUGUCUUUGCACUGCUUGGAUAAGCAAACGACAGCUAUGUGCCCCUUUCUGGCACAUUUGUGGCAAAUUGCCUCCCGAAAUUUGCAAAUUUCGCGAGAAAUAGAAUAACCGCAGCCAGUGCACGAUUUAUAUACUGCGUUUGUGUCAAGAGCUCUCUUCUCACUCUCUUUGAUUACUGACACUGGCUUUGUUGUUGCCUCGUAAGUUUCGGCAAUUGAGAGAACGUCUUCGAUCGACGGCUGCAACUUCUGCAAAGUGGCUGUGCGAAUUGCGUCGAAUGGAGUGUGCACAAUUAGUUGAUCGCGGAUCAUUUCAUUAACGUAAUUAAAUGAACACCCAUCGGAUUGGCAAACAAAUUUACACUCUCUAGCAAUGCCACGUAGAUCGGCGACCCAUUCCUUAUGUGUCUGUGAGUCCCGCAUCCGACGCUUGAAGAAUUCGUACCGCUCAUCAACAAUAUGACUCUUCUGCUUGAAAUGUUCUGUUAGUUUCUCUGUUAUUUGUUCAUAUGUCUGCUGGUCCAAGUUUUCGCUACCAAUCAGAUUUUUAACAAGCUCAAAUAUGUGAGUGCCUGCCCACGAUAGAAAAUACGCUUUUUUUCUAUCUGCUGCUUGCACCGAGUAAGCGGAGAAGUGCUGUGUUAUUUGUUGGAGAUUCCAGGACCUUCAAAUAAAGUUUGGAUACGCACAAAAAAGGCGAAUGCUCAGACGGAUGCAGACGCCGCUUUCUUUUAUAGGUGCUAGUGGAAUUCCUUUGGCAAAUCUACCGGGGAGUAUUGCUUGAAGUUGUAGACUGAGACAAGAUCCCGAACAAAUCGAUGUGGAAAAGGCCGAAAGGUGGGUUACUCUCUGUAUAAGGAAGGAAUCCAGCAAGCUGCUGAAGGCAGCUGAGGGCCGCGCGCUGCGGGUGGGAGGAAGUAGUGGUGCGAGUAUACAAAGGAGACGCCAAAAGUCGGCUUGUAAAGAAACCGUCCGAAACCGACGCCGAUCCCCUUGACGGCUAUGUCUCGGAGGUGAGCGAUCUCGCAUGAGAUAUGCGAGGCGUCGGGGUCGACGAUGACUCCCUUUCCGAAUCGGACCUAGGACCGACCCUACCGUGGUUGAAAAUGUCUCCAACAUCCCUGCAGAUCAACCUUCUCCACUAUAAGGCAACGAACGCUGCACAUGGGGCAGACAUCGUUUUGACUUAGGAACCCUGGAUCUCUAGUGCCGGGGUCUCUGGACUGGGCGCAACAAACUGACUGACUGUGCAGUGACGAAGGCACUGCAACAUCGGGCUCAACCUAAGGAUCAGCUCAGCUUACUCGGUCAUGACCGUCAAAAAUGGUCUUCGAUACCGGUAAUUUCCCGGAAAUGUGGUUACGCAGCAAGGUGGUGUUCAUUCCUAAAGCGGGUAAGCCAUCGAACUGCACCCCCAAAGACAUCAGACCGAUCAGUUACUCAUCACUUAUGCUGAAAACGAUGAAAAGAUAAAUAAAUCUUCAUAUCCGAAACUAGUCUCACCAAUCCCCUCUCUCCGACUCCUCACGCCUACGGGAAGGGUAAAUCUAUGAGAGCAGCCCUACACAGAAUCGGCACGAUCAUAUCAUUCUUAGAUCUAGAGGGAGCUUUUAACAAUAUCCUGCCAGAAUCCAUCACUGACGAACUAGCUGACUUGAAUAUUGGCCAUUAUCCGGCUACUGCGAUACAGGACCGUGGAGGGGACGUUACGAUUUACGACUUACUGUCGUAACGAAAGUUAGUAGAGGCACCCCGCGAGGCGGUGUACUCUCGCCAUUUAUGUGGAACGUACCAGUCAAUAGACUGCUGCGAAACAUGGAAGGAGGUGACAGUCUCGUAAUGCCUUUCGACAGCCUAAGAUGCUUAUCAGACUGGACAGGCAAAAACGAACUGGGCGUAAACCCCUCCAAAACGGAAUGAAUACUCUUCACUAGGAACUAUAAAAUCCCUAAACUAAAUAUAUCAUCUCUUUUCGGAGAAACUCUAAGAACUCUGGAAAAAAAGCUAGAUUGGAAUUUGAUCGUCGCUGACAGAGUGUGGAAGGCAACAACAUCUUCCAAAAGCCUUUGGGCUCAGCUGGGGCAAGUCAUCAAUGGACAACACCAAGAAGCGUUCGACCAAAUAAAGUCUGAAAAAGCGCCAGUAUUGGCAUGUCCAGAAUUCACAAAACAGUUUUAACUCCAGAUGUAUGCCAGUAAUUUUGAUAUAGGAGCAUUACUAGCCCAGGAGAACACGUAAUAUCGCAUGCGAGCCGGAAGCUGAUUAAGGAAAUUAAACUGCAACAUCAAGGAGAACUCGGGCAAAAUAUUUCUCUCCGCGGAUUGCCAAAUAUUUGAAACGUUUUGUGACAGCGUGCGAUUGCUGACAGCGAUAUAACUCGUCACAACAGAGAGCUGCUGGAAAAAUGCUAGCAAAGGUACCGGAGGCAUCAUGGAAAACCAUGUGUAUCCGACAAUGGAGUCCAGUAUACCACCAAUUCACGACAAUGUAGACUUCACAGUAAAAUCCGACGGAGCGUACCAACCGAACGGUGAAAACAAUGAUCUCCCUACAGGGGUAGACCAGUCCAAGUGGGAUGAGCACUUACCGGAGUUAAUGCUAGCCUUCAAUAGUACCACCUCAGAAACAACAGGUUACAGUGCAGCGCAGUCACUGUUUGGAAGAGAAUUCUGUCUGGGUUAGGAAUAGAAGAAGUCAGUAGAAGGCAAAAACAAAACUACGAUCUCAGAAAACGGAAUGGAAACCCAGUACUGGCCAACUGGUUUGGCACCCAGAUAUGAUGGACCAUGGAAAGUAGUCAAAUUUGCAUCACAGGCAUCAACCCACAGGAGGAGACAAGGAAAGAACGCUUUUGGAUUGAUGGCUCCGGUGGGCACGCAGUGUUCGCACGAGCCCACCCGCGACAUCUAGAAUUGGGCCUACGUAAAUAGGAAGGUGCAGCAGCGACGUUAUCUCGUAAAGGAUGGUGCCGUUACGUGAAAAGUGAUCUUCAACCGCGGGUGAGAGGUAACCGUACUCUACAAGUUUUCAUAUAAUUUAUAAUCAUGUGCGUACAUUAGUACACAAGAUGAGUUAUAGCUGAGGGAAGGUCAUUUAUAAAUAAAGUAAAAAGUAGCGGCCCUAGGUGGCUCCCUUGUGGGACACCGGAACUAACGUGGAGUAUACAAGAACCAGAAGAACGUGAUUAACAGAGUCAAAUGCUUUACUAAAGUCAGUGUAAAUGGUGUCUGUUUAAAGAUGUUUUUUAAAUCCUUUUAUCACAAAUGAUGUAUGUUCCAAAAGCUUAGUGGUUGUCGAUCUACGUUUCAUAAACCCGUGUUGACAUGGAGAUAUAACUGACCUACAGAGGUGCUGCAUGUGGGGAGUAAGAAUAUUUUCAAAGAGCUUUAGGAUCGCUGACAAUUUAGAGAUACCUCUAUAAUUGCAUGCUUCCACUUUGCUACCCUUCUUGUGGAGAGGAAUUACAAACGAUUUCAUAUACAUAUUGGGAAAUUGUGAGGAUUCUAAAGAUAUAGUAAAUAAUUUGAGGAAGGGCUUGCAUAAGGCCUCCGCGCAAUUUUUAAGCACACAGACAGGAAUUCCAUCAGGACUAGGUGAAUAUGCAGGCUUGACAAGUUUAAGAUCAACAAGCAAAGAGCUUUUAUUUAAGGUGGGACAGAAUAUUAAAUUCGACCUGGAUACUGUGUACGAAAAAGGUUGUGAGGAAUGAGAUGAAAUAGAAUAUGUCGUUGGAAAAAACUUGGCAAAAAGAUCGGCUAUCGCCUAAUCAGUUGUUGCGGUAAUACUUUUAGAAGAUAACGAGGACGGAUUAUUUGUGGAUAUACGCUCAGUGUCAACAAAAUUACAUAACUUUAUCGGAUUCUGAGAGAAUUUAACUUUACAACGAUUUAAAUAGUUUUUGUAACACAAAAAGUUAAGCACUGUAAAACUAGACCGAGCACCAAAGUAUCUAUAAUAAAUAGAUUGAGAACCGCUA